rnacentral:rRNA from 1 species
GACGAACCGUGCGAACGUUAUUCGGAAUCACUGGGCUUAAAAGCGCGUGUAGGCGGGAUGGCACGUCGGUCGCUGAAAGCCCCCGGCUCAACCGGGGAAGUGGCGCCGAUACGACCACCCUGGAGGGACGUAGGGGGACCUGGAACUUCCGGUGGAGCGGUGAAAAUGCGUUGAGAUCCGGGAAGAACACCGGUGGCGAAGGCGGCCCGCUGGGCAGUGGCUGACGCUGAGGCGCGACAGCGUGGGGAGCAAACAGG